GACUGAGUGGUUUAAAGUGUUGGUCUUGAAAACCAAUGUGUCUUACACCGUGGGUUCGAAUCCCACCUUAUUCU
rnacentral:tRNA from 1 species